rnacentral:rRNA from 1 species
GUAGAUGGCAAGCGUUGUCCGGAAUUAUUGGGCGUAAAGCGCGCGCAGGUGGGUUCUUUAAGUCUGAUGUGAAAGCCCCCGGGCUCAACCGGGGAGGGUCAUUGGAAACUGGGGAACUUGAGUGCAGGAGAGGAAAGUGGAAUUCCACGUGUAGCGGUGAAAUGCGUAGAUAUGUGGAGGAACACCAGUGGCGAAGGCGACUUUCUGGCCUGUAACUGACACUGAGGCGCGAAAGCGUGGGGAGCAAACAGGAUUAGAUACCCUGGUAGUCCACGCCGUAAACGAUGAGUGCUAAGUGUUGGGGGGUUUCCGCCCCUCAGUGCUGCAGCUAACGCAUUAAGCACUCCGCCUGGGGAGUACGGUCGCAAGACUG